AAUAGUACGUACAUUCCGUUAAUAGUUUUUGGGGAAUAGUGCUGAAGUGGCAGUCCUUCGCCAAGUAUAAAUCUAUUAUUACGCCGGGUCGAUUUGCGG